GACGAACGCUGGCGGCGUGCCUAAUACAUGCAAGUAGGACGCAGUUGCGAACGUGUGAGUAACGCGUAGGUAACUACCUAUUAGAGGGGGGUAACUAUUGGAAACGAUAGCUCAUACCGCAUACUAGUAGAUGGACCUGCGUUGUAUUAGCUAGUAGGUCGGGUAAUGGCCUACCUAGGCAACGAUACAUAGCCGAGCUGAGAGGGGUAGAGGCCACACUGGGGCAUAGAGACGGCCCCGACUCCUACGGGAGGCAGCAGUAGGGGAACUUCGGCAAUGGGGGGAACCCUGGCCGGGCAACGCCGCGUGAGUGAGAAAAGUUUUCGGAUGGUGAAGCUCUGUUGUUAAGGAAGCGGUACUUAACCAGAGAAGGACGGCUAACUACGUGCCAGCAGCCGCGGUAAUAC
rnacentral:rRNA from 1 species